CGGCGCCUCGAAGCUUCGUGUCGGCGAGGAGGGAAAACUCUCUUCUUCUUCUACUGCUGCUGCUUCUUCUUCAUCCUGUGUCACUGGCGAGUCGCCACCAACGCGGAGCACUGUUGACACCAACAGGCUGAGUUAGAGCUCGACAAUCCACAAGGACUCAGGAAACGAGAUUGUGACUGGACUGACACCAACUUUAUGCAUAACAGAAGAUACGAACUGUGACAAGCUCUUUUCAAGAAAAGUUUCCUGUUUACAACAGAAUCAGCUCCUAAAAGAACAGGUUUUCAGUUUGUACAGAGGAAACAAGAAGAUAGAUAUGAUUGAAAAUAAAAACAACAAACGGGCUGGAAUGUUGAAAUAAUGGAUUAGUGUGAAAGGAAUUUACAAGUAGAAAAAGCUGGGACAUUAAAAUAAUCAUUGAAAGCAAAGAGUAAAUGAUAUACAAUAAAGAUGGUGUCUGAA